UUUUUUGUUUUAAAAAAUAGAGCAUAUAUAUUACUUUAAAAAAGAAUUAUCUGUACUUGUUUUUUUUUCUACAAAACAUUUUUUUUUUUUUAUUCCUGCAGUUAACUUUUUAUCAAACGCUGUGGCAUGCACAUUGCACAUGCAAUUUUUGAGCCACACACACAUCAAGAAGUUGAGAGAACAUCCUGCAUGCAAAUGAGGAAAACUGAAAAUAAUUCACAUGGUGAAUUUUGUCAAACACAUCAUCAUGGACCUGAUCACAUAAAUAUACACACACCAUUCACAAACAUAGACACAUCAUUUCCUUGACGCUUCUUGCAACUCAAAACAGGGUUGUAUUGCAUAUAUAGAUACUCUCAUUAUAAAAACGUAAGCCUUGUGAAGUUAAAUGCCUGCUGCGGAUAAAAGAAAACUGCAAACUGACACAUUGCAGCUGUAUAAAUGUGUAAAAGUGGGAUGUGUGGUCUAAAUAACAGUGAAUAAGGCACUGAUUAAUCUCAGUAAUGCAUUCCUAAGAAUGUAGUUCUCAAAGAAACAAUGACAACAAAAUCUAAUAAUGCGCAACUAGCAAGGGGAGACAUGAAACUCGGAUCCUGUAUCUAGUGUUUACAUCCUCAAGGACAAUAUACUCACCAGUUGUGGACACACUUAAACAUACAGUCUCAAAGGAGAGCCACAAACUUACCAGUUUCAUCAGUAAUGCUACAUACAGGACACUCAAGUGGGAUUGUGUGUGAUAAUAUGUUAUUAAAUGCUACACACAUUGUCUAAUUUGCACAUGCUGCAAAUUUGGACUCGUUCGGCAGCAGUCUGUGUAUGCAGAGUCAUUCCACAGACUGAGAUGACGAUGGUAAUAUGGGCCGAAAAGACACAAAGAUCAGUGGGACACAAGAGACAAGUUU